UUUAGUAUAUAAUAAUACUUUUUUUAAGACAGAUUGGCACUUUGAUAGACAAAAAAUAAUGUAGUUGUCUAAAGAAUAAUUAGUUCAUUUUAACUCUUAUCCAUAUGCUGAACAUGUCUAGUUGCAUUGUCUUCGAUCUCUUCUUGUCAAUUUAUACAAAGGAAUAAAAUAUCUCAUGGCCAAACAUGUUCCCUUGAGAAAUGAGAAGUGAUACAUUUGUAAGGUUCAAAAUUGUCAUUGACAUGCUAGCUAACUAAUUAUCUCAAAGUUUAACAAGAUUAUUUUAGUUUAUACUGGAAUUAUUUUAUACGUAGAUUGAUUUCGAUCUUCAGAUUACAUGUAUUUUGCGUUUUCAGAUAAAUAUAUCGUGGAUAAUUGAAGUCAAAUUCGAUAUUAUUCAUUCUAAAUACAUUGUAUUAUAUUCAAGUGAGUUGCAUUGACUUUCUCGUUCAUCCUUCUCCCUCGAUCGUCGAGUAAUAUAUGUAUUUAAAUAUUUCUGAUUUGAGAUUAUUAAUAAACAAUAUGUAAUUAUUUCGAAAUUCAAACUAUAGAAAAAAAUUAGUAAAUAUAAUAGCAUUGUUUUUAUUAUUGGAAAUAUUAGAGACCACGUUCGCUACGUUUAUAAGAGUGGACGUAAAAGGGGGUAGAAUUUAAUUUCACUUUAGUAGAAAGCAGAGUGGAAAAUAUGUAGCUUCUCAAGUUUUUUAAAAAAACGAAACAAGAUGCCGUGGGAUGUGUCGACUAGUGAGAUUCGAUUUCGAGUAGGAGCACAUCUCGAGGAGCAGUUUGAGUCCGAAUUUAAAGUGCAUUGUAGUCGUGGUGAGCUGCUUGGUUGUUCUGUGGCCCACACCUCCCUCUAUCUUUUAUUUAUUCUGUUAUUCAGUUUUCAGACAAGAUAUUCCUUAUGUUAGAUUUGUCAUUCUAGUUUCAGAUUUGCAUCGUAUUAUAGAAGCUCUUGUACUUAUGACAUCAAUUCUUGGGUAGUAUUUUUUUUUCAAUUUUCCGCAUUCUUAAUUAUAAGGAACUCAGUGUUGGAGAGUUGACUAAUUGUUGUCUUUUCACUCAUUAGUUAGUUAUGUCUGUUAAAAUGUGUUGGUUGGCUUACCUAUUGGUUGGGAACAUAGGUGCCAUCACGACUGGUGAUUUUUGGGAUCGUGACACAGAUAUUGAUAGAAAUAAUAAUCUCGAGAUAAUUAACUAAUUUAAA